UCUCAAACUCCUGACCUCAGGUGAUCUGCGCACCUUAGCCUCCUGAAGUGCUGGGAUUAUAAGUAUGAGCUGCCAUGCUCACCCUCAGUUCAACCCCUUUAAUAUUGGACGCACACCCCAUGCCAGUUGAAAAUUGUGUAGAAGACAUGUCCAUUGGCCACAGGCGCCAGCAAGUCCUGUUUACACUCUCCUUGAGCAAACAGUGGACACUAUCGACUCCAAUGCAUAAAGGAAGAGAGUAAGUCCAUUAUGAUAGUAAUCUUUGUUUGCCAGUAUAAACUGAUUCAACAAGUUUGGGGGCUUCCAACUCCAAAUGGUGAAAAAGCAAUUCAAAGUAAACUUGACCUUCUCUGUUCUUAAUCUCUAUAUGAUUUUUUUUUUUUUUUUAAUGUGUGAGCCUAUGUUAGGAGUUAAUGACAGUGACUCUUAUCAGGCUAUGCUGACCCUAAUGGCAACAAUACUGUUGAAGCCUUGUUUCUGAAAGCUGAGACAUCCCUCUGGAUCUAAUCAAGAAACAGUUGUAGCUUGAGGCCUAAACUGAGUUGUUGGAGAAUUGGGAGUUCUCAACUGCUAGAUGGUAUGCUGGGGCUUGGCAUUCCUCUCUCAAUUUUAUAAUAAUCAGGGUCACCAGUGGAACUAUACUUCCUGUAUGAUGUUUGUCUAAGCCCUGUGCUAUCCCAGGAUAAGUGCUGAUUGAGGGCCAAAGGAGCAUUUCCCAUGGCACGAUGCAUCUAAGUCAAAUGAGAGAGAAACAGAAAACCACCUUUAACACCGUAAGCCUUGUCCUGAGGCUCCAGCGCUAAUUGCUCCCAAAGGGACUUCCCAACCUAUACCAAAAAGCCCAAGGGGCCUAGGAACCUGGCAGAUGUGGAUUAAAUAAAAUAUUUGGAAUGAGUGAUGACUCUGCUAUUUAGUAAGGAUGCUACUUCAAGCAAGUUUAUUAACUUCUGACAGUAUCAGAUUUCUGAUCUGUAAAAUGGGGAUGGUGUUGUCUAUCACAUUGGGCUGUUGUAAGGAUUAAAUUACAUUAGGUAACACACAUAAAAUACCUAGUACAUACCCUUGACAUAUCAGAGGUGCUUAAGAAAUGUUGGUAGGCAGAAAAGUUAAAUACACAAAUAAUGACAUGUAGGUGAUGACAUGAGAUUAAUGUGGUGAACUGUGCAGAAGUGGCAAUAUAAAGUUCGACAGGAAAAGAGGAAAAAAAAUGUAUUGAACACUUGUCACUUGACCUGCUUCUGCAUUAAUUAGUAGCAUUUCAAUGGUCAGAGGUGGAGGAAGCAUACUUUCUGAUACAGGGAAGAGCUUGAGGAAGGUCCACAGCUAGAAAAGGCAAAUGACCCUAGGAGUUGUAAGGAAAACAGUUGGCUGAAGUGUAGACUAGUACGUGGCACAAAAACGAUAAGGGUUGGAAUUUGCAGUAGGUGUGGCAUACAAAAAUGAUCAGGUUAGAAAGUUAGAAACCACCAUGUACAGAAUCCCUGGAGGAUUUCUGGCAUAGAUAGCAGCCUGAUCAGAGUGGAUUAACAUGAAUAUGAAGUAAACGUGGUUGAGGUACGCCAAAAGUUGAGAGCAGAAAGAUGCGGUGAGGAUGCCAGUUCAGUAGAUUAGACAGAGGUCAAGUAGAAGGUUAACAAGGAGACUGGAUGAGGGUAGUGGCAGUGGGACAAGUGGAAAGAUGUGGACAUGAAAAACAUGCUGAAGGUGGAGAUUACAGCAGGGGUUUCAACCCCCGGGGCCACAGACCAGCACCAGGUUGUGGCCUAUUAGGAACUGGUACACACAGCAGGAAGUGAGUGGCAGGGGAGUGAGCAAAGCAUCAUCUGUGUUUACAGCCUCUCCCCAUCAGCUCACAUUACCACCUGAGCUCCAUCUCCUGUCUGAUCAGCAGGCACAUCAGAUUCUCACAGGACUGUGAACCGUGUUGUGAACUGUGCCUGCGAAGGAUCUAGGUUGUGCACUCCUGAUGAGAAUCUAAUGCCUGAUGAUCUGAAGUGAAAUAGUUUC